rnacentral:rRNA from 1 species
AAGUCGUACAAGGUUUCCGUAGGUGAACCUGCGGAAGGAUCAUUACCGAGUAGGUCGCCUUCCAGGUGCCCGACUCCCAACCCUUUGUCUAAGAUACCUCAGUUGCUUCGGUGGGCCGGGCCGCGACCAACUGGCUUCGUGACCGGUGGCCGGGGAACCCGGCGGCAGAGCGCCCACCGACGGCCUCCACAAAACUCUUGAUACCUAAACCUGUCGUCUGAAUUUACUUGAUAUUAAUCAAAAACAAAACUUUCAACACGGACUCUUGGUUCUGGCAUCGAUGAAGAACGCAGCGAAAUGCGAUAAGUAAUGCGAAUUGCAGAAUUUCGUGAGUCAUCGAAUCUUUGAACGCACAUUGCGCCACUGGUAUUCCGGUGGGCAUGCCUGUUCGAGCGUCAUUAUCCUCCCUCAAAACUCCUGUUUUGGUGUUGGCCGCGUUGGUCACCUCCGACCAACGGCCUCAAAGACAAUGACGGCGUCCGUGGGACCCUCUCGCAGUGAGCUUUUGUUAGCGCGCGUUGAGUUUAAAGGACCUUCCGGGCCGGCCACCUUUAUCUAUUUUACAAGGUUGACCUCGGAUCAGGUAGGAUACCGCUGAACUUAA